rnacentral:rRNA from 1 species
UGGAAACGACUGCUAAGACUGGAUAGGAGACAAGAAGGCAUCUUCUUGUUUUUAAAAGACCUAGCAAUAGGUAUGCUUAGGGAGGAGCUUGCGUCACAUUAGUUAGUUGGUGGGGUAAAGGCCUACCAAGACUAUGAUGUGUAGCCGGGCUGAGAGGUUGAACGGCCACAUUGGGACUGAGACACGGCCCAAACUCCUACGGGAGGCAGCAGUAGGGAAUUUUCGGCAAUGGAGGAAACUCUGACCGAGCAACGCCGCGUGAACGAUGAAGUAUUUCGGUACGUAAAGUUCUUUUAUUAAGGAAGAAUAAAUGAUGGAAAAAUCAUUCUGACGGUACCUAAUGAAUAAGCCCCGGCUAACUAUGUGCCAGCAGCCGCGGUAAUACAUAGGGGGCAAGCGUUAUCCGGAAUUAUUGGGCGUAAAGGGUGCGUAGGCGGUUAAAUAAGUUUGUGGUCUAAGUGCAAUGCUCAACAUUGUGAUGCUAUAAAAACUGUUUAGCUAGAGUAAGAUAGAGGCAAGUGGAAUUCCAUGUGUAGUGGUAAAAUGCGUAAAUAUAUGGAGGAACACCAGUAGCGAAGGCGGCUUGCUGGGUCUUUACUGACGCUGAGGCACGAAAGCGUGGGGAGCAAACAGGAUUAGAUACCCUGGUAGUCCACGCCGUAAACGAUGAGUACUAAACGUUGGGUAAAACCAGUGUUGAAGUUAACACAUUAAGUACUCCGCCUGAGUAGUACGUACGCAAGUAUGAAACUUAAAGGAAUUGACGGGACUCCGCACAAGCGGUGGAUCAUGUUGUUUAAUUCGAAGGUACCCGAAAAACCUCACCAGGUCUUGACAUGCUUCUGCAAAGCUGUAGAAACACAGUGGAGGUUAUCAGUUGCACAGGUGGUGCAUGGUUGUCGUCAGCUCGUGUCGUGAGAUGUUGGGUUAAGUCCCGCAACGAGCGCAACCCUUAUUGUUAGUUACCAGCACGUAAUGGUGGGGACUUUAGCAAGACUGCCAGUGAUAAAUUGGAGGAAGGUGGGGACGACGUCAAAUCAUCAUGCCCCUUAUGACCUGGGCUACAAACGUGAUACAAUGGCUGUUACAAAGGGUAGCUGAAGCGCAAGUUUUUGGCGAAUCUCAAAAAAACAGUCUCAGUUCGGAUUGAAGUCUGCAACUCGACUUCAUGAAGUUGGAAUCGCUAGUAAUCGCGAAUCAGCAUGUCGCGGUGAAUACGUUCUCGGGGUUUGUACACACCGCCCGUCAAAC